UGCAUGUUGAAUAAGGAUACUAGUUACACCUGUAUAAUUGAAUAUAAGAUGUAACAACUAAAUAUAAUUUAAGGAUAUGGUGUCAAUAUAUAAUGGAAUG